rnacentral:lncRNA from 1 species
GUGUUUGACAGAUGUUUUAUGAUAUGCUCAGCUGUAAUUCAGGUGGGGUUUUGACGAUAACAAAAAUACAGAUAAGUUAUUACACGUAGUUAUCCCAUCAUCAACAAAUUGACAAGGAUAAAAGUAAUUUGAUAUACAUAACGACAUUCUAUCCCGAUAAUCAUGAUAUUGUUUGCAAUCAAAUCGUACACGGAAGAUAUUGUUACAAUACUCAAUUUGGUUGACCCAAGAUAAUAAUUGAAGCUAAUACAUG